rnacentral:rRNA from 1 species
UACGAAGGGGGCUAGCGUUGCUCGGAAUUACUGGGCGUAAAGGGAGCGUAGGUGGUGCGGUAAGCCCUCCGGGAAAGCUUCAGGCUUAACCUGAAAAGGUCGGGGGGGACUGCCACGCUAGAGGACGGGAGAGGAGCGCGGAAUUCCCGGUGUAGCAGUGAAAUGCGUAGAGAUCAGGAGGAACAUCCAUGGCGAAGGCAGCUACCUGGACCAACACUGACACUGAGGCACGAAAGCGUGGGGAGCAAACAGG